rnacentral:lncRNA from 1 species
GGAGUACCAUCAUGUGCAUCCAAAAUGGUUUCUUAUCCUUUGGUGCAUUAGGUGCAAACCGGUUACCUAUCUUGCACCGAAACUAACAAUGUCUCUAAACGGACUGAAGUGAGAUUCCAUACGACACAUGUCAUCUAGGAGUUCCAUUUGGUGUGUCCAAAUUGAUUUCUUAGCAUAUGGUAUGUUCCAUGCAAAUCGUGCACCUAUCUUGCAUC